rnacentral:lncRNA from 1 species
AGAGAGCCAGUGCUUGUUAAGAGCGAGGGUGAGCUCAUCAUCGAGGUCCGGUCCUCCUGUGUGGAGUCCUAUCCUGGUGCUCUCGGGGUAGGACAGGUGGGCAGUGCCUGCUCCCAGCCUGUUCCUGAUUCCUCACAGUUGCCUACGGAAGCUCUAUUUCCCCAAACUUCUAACUUUUCCUGCCUUAUCUGAUUGUUCUCUGGUAUUGUAUUCUGAGUCCAAGGAGGGCACGAGAAACUAGUUUCUAACAUGCUGCUAAGCGUGUUUCUUUCCUACUCUUCUCUUACUAAGACUGCUUUACUCGUGCGCAUUGUUUUUCCUAAAAUGCGAUGAGCCAGCAGCAGUUUCUUCUACUUUCCGCACAGGUGAUUUUUCUUUGCUUGCUUUUUAAGCUCCUUUCUCUGAAUGAAUAUAGAUUAAAAGAGGGAUGGGACGAGGGGUGGACAGCACUAAGGGUAACUGCAUAGCAGCAAGAAUGACUCACGUCUGUGUUGCUGGUAGUUUCUGAGUUCAGGUCCUGGGUGCUGGGAGGAGACAGCUGCCUGCAGAGUGGUGAGAAAUUCUUCCAAUCUUUUUUAGAUGCUUCCCUUUUCUGAAGUAAAGCCUGAAUAUGCCAUUAAGAGAAGCUGUGGUAGGUUUUCCUCCCACCUAGUUCCAUCUGCCGUGUGGUUAAUGAAACAUCUUUCCAUAUUUUCCAUGUGGUUAUUCAUCAAGCCUAGUUUUGGGGAUGGUGUGAGUUUUGUUUUGUUUUGUUUUGUUUUCUGGAGGGUGAGAAAAGUUGCAUUUUAGGGUUGCUGAUAAGAUCUAAUUAAAACCCAUUUUUAAAAUAUUAGACACUGAGAGAAUUUUCCUCAGAAUAGCAUAAUAAUGGCCAUUAAAUAUGUGCUUCCCCCACCCUUAAUCAGCUCUAUACUAGGAAUUAGCACUAAAAAUAUUAGAAGAGAGAUGUUAUAUUUACAUAUUUGGUUGAGACUAAAGAACUUCUUCCUCUUAGCUGCAAUAGACUCUUAUUUUACUCUGGCUUUCUCUCCCAAUUAAGCUAGGAACAAUAACUAUUGUCUAUUUCCCUUCAAUUUCAAUCCACCGUUUCUUUUUUAUUUUCAGCUAUACGUGAACAGAUAUGGGCUAGGGAAACAUAAAAAUUAAAUAACUUGAGUGGGUCAAUAAAAAGGUUAUUCUGUUUCUUUCAGGGUUUUUGAGGAUUAUAAUGAAUAAAACAGAACCAGAGAAGUUACGAAGCAUGUGUUUAUCACUCAGCAAUAGAGAAUUUUAAACAAAUCUUCAGGCUCGUGUGGAAAAACCGAUAAAAUAGAAAAAGCAAUCGGAAGAAUAUAAAAAUCACUGAUAAUCCCGCCACCUAGAGAAAACUACUGUUAGUAUUUUGAGUGUAUUUCCCUCCAGCUUUUUUCUAUAUAUGUGUAUGUAUUUAUAAUAUAUAAAUAAUAUACUAUAUAUUAAUCAAAUACUAUAUAUAAUAAAUACAUUAUAUAUCUUACAUAGAACACAUUUUAUUUAUUGUAUUAUAAACACAGUUUUGUGUCCUGUUUAUUUUUGUAAACGUUAUAUUGUAUAGUCCCUAGAUAUUACCAUUUGAAAACAUG